rnacentral:lncRNA from 1 species
AAAUACUUUCUUUUCAUAGAAAAAAUAUUUUCUUUCGUUUCAACAAUAAAAAAAUAUUUUCUUUUUAUGAUUUAAAUCUUUUUNNNNNNNNNNUACCAAACACACCCUAUAUCUUCCGUAUUACAUACACUAAAAUAGUACACGUAACAUUCCAUUCGUCUUGGUAACUUAUCUUUUACCUAGUAUUUGGUUUGCUUUUUUGUAUAUAGUCUUACUUUGUCUUGUUCAUGUCGGACUAUUUCAUCAAUUUCAUUUUAAGUGUUAAUAUUGAGAAAAAAUCCAAUAUAAUAUAUUAUUAUAUUAUAUUAUAUUUGAACUGCUUUCCUACUCAAAUAAUUUAUUUUAUUGUUAAUUUUAAUAUAGAAAAAUAUACCUAAUUAUUAAAGAACAACUAAGAAAAAUUUUAAGAAUAUAAAUGUGUGAGAAAAAAUAGGAAAAAAUGUUAGUAAAAGCCAAUAUCACUAAUGAUUUUGCAAACAUAAAGAUCUAAAGGUGGAAUGUCAUCGAUGUUUUUACUCUUUGAAAAUAAAACCACUUGGUGGAUAAAAUUAUAAUCACGGUUAAAUAUUCAAACAUGAGAUGAACUAAUAUUAAGAAUCUAAAUCAACAGAAAAUGAAUUAUAUUUCAUGUUAAAACCAAAUAAUUAAAUCUUUCAAUUAUUUAUUUAGCAAGAGAAUACAAUUAAAUUAUUUUUUAAAUUCAUCAUAUGAGAGAAAUUAUUUUUCAAGUUGAAAAAAAUAUAAUAUUAAGAAGAUCAUACAAGUAUUUGAGGAAGCACAAUCUAAGCUAAAUCCUGAACAAGAAUAAGUUUUCAAGAUUAUAUUAUAAAAACUGACUCGGGUAUAGCGGGAUUAUCUUUUGUAGAUGCCUCCGACGGAAUCAAAAUAAUAUUUCUAUGUCAUGUAUUAUUUGCAAAUAUCAAAUCAAGAGGCAUGAUAUUAUUAGCAGUAAGAACAAGUGGUUUACCAACAACAAUUUUAUUAUGAGGUCGUACAACUCACUUUAGAUUUGAUAUACCUCUUGAAAUAACUGAAAUAACCAUCACAAAUAUGUCAAAUCAGAUCAAUAGUGCUAAAUUUAUAAGGAAAACAAAAGUUAUGGGAUGAAGCGAAUUUGGCUAAGCGUCAAACGAUCAAAAUAAUUACCCAUUGUUUUAGAGAUAUAUUGGAUAUCGAGAACCAUUUGGUAAAAACGUAAUAGUUUGGGAGGUGAUUUCUGUCAGAUACGAUCAGUAGUUCCAAAAUUGACCAAAGCAGAAACUGUAAAGCUAGCUUUCCAAAAUUAUACUUAUGACCUCAAAUAAAAAAUAUUCAAAUGACAAGAAAUAUAAAAUUAAUAACAAAUCCAACAUUCAAUGACUUCUUGCUUCCUGUCGGAAACGAAGAAGAGCAUCAAAUAAAAGAUGAUUUGGUUCUUCUAGAACACUUGGUUAUUGUAAUGAUCCGGCUGGUCGUUUUGAGUAUCUGCACUUCGCUCGGUAUUUUGAGGUCUCGAGUAUCUUCGCAUGAUGUAUUAUGACUUGUGUAAGUCGUCGGUAUUGGUUUUCAAGUUAUCCGAAAUCGAUUUGGAAGAAUGAACUUAAAGAUUUAAGCUCUAAGUUGGAAGAGUUGACCAAGUUUGAUUUUUUAGCAUUUAACCUCGGAAUACAAUUCCGUCAAUUCCGAUAGCUCCGUUGGGUAAUUUUGGACUUAGGAGCGCGUCCGAACUGUAAAUUGGAGGUCCGUAAUUGAAUAAGUCUUGAAAUGGCGAAAGUUGGAUUUUUGGAAAGUUUGACGGGGAGUGGACUUUUUGAUAUCGUGGUCGGAUUUCGAUUUCGUCAGUUCGAAUAGGUCUGUAAUGACAAAUGUGACUUGUAUGAAAAAAUUGGGAUCAAUUGCACGUGAUUUAAUAGGUUUCAGCAUCGGUUGUAGAAGUUGAAGUUUCAAAGUUCAUUGACUUGGACUUGAGAUACGAUUUGUCGUUUUGAGGUUGUUAUGCGUGAUUUGAAGCUUCGAGUAGGUUCGUUUUGUCAUAUAGAACUUGUCCGCAAAAUUUAGAUCCAUUUGGAAUUGAUUUGAUAUGGUUCGGACACUUGGUUGUGAUUCUAGAAGUUCUUAAAGUUUAGUUUGAUCCUCAUGCAUUUAGGCGUCCGAUUCGUGGUUUUAGAGGUUAUUUUGAUGAUUUGAUCGCACGAGCGAGUUCGUGUUGUGUUUCUGGACUUUGGUUCAUGGUUAGUUUGGAUCCUCAAGGGCUCGGGUGAGUUUCGGAAUGAUUUUUCAUAAACUUUGAUUUUUGGUAAUGGUAUCAUCACAGUUGCGAUGUUUUUGUCGCAAAUGCGACAACCGCAAUUGCAAAGCAGCCAUCGCAUUUACAAGGUCUGGGCUGCUGGGAAAAUUUGCAUUUGCCAAGAACCCUGCCGCAUUUGCGAAAUGUUGGUCUUCGUAUUUGCGAAGUAUUGGGUCGCAAAUGCGACCUUGACAGGAAAACUUCUUGAGAGUCGAAUAGGACUCGGAUUUGAAAACAAAAUAUAUAUUUGAACUCGUGAGGCUAUGGGUAGUCAAGACCUACCAUUGGACCCGGAUUUUUACCUGGCGGGCCAGGGGUUUGACUUUUUAGAAAUCUAAUAAAAAUCACAGUUUUAUUAAUUAAAAUUACUUUCUCUUUCAUUGUGUGAUGUAUUCAAGUCAUCGUUGGAUAGAUUGAGCCGAGCGGAGGCGAAUUUGUAAAGGAAAAGGCUAAAUUUAGUAUUGAGUUAGCCGAAUUGAGGUAAGUGUCUUGCCUAACUUUGUUGAGGGAAUUUUUCCUCCUAUUUGACAAUGUUUUCUACAUGCGGGGGUGAUACAUAUAUGAGGUGACGAGCGUAUAUAUAUGUGCCAGGGUUAAUCAUGCUUGGGGGUAGAUUAUGUAUAAUUAUGUCUUGUACAAUUACGUGACCUUCUUGCUCCAUGCCUUACUUGACUCUUAGAUACUAAGAACAUAGUAUUAAAUGUUGAAAAUCAAGAUUUAAAUUAUUAUAACUUGAUCAAAUUUGAUGGAAUUCUAAGAAUACAUUUAUGUGUCUAAUUCGGUUAUUCCUAUGCGUAGUCAUUAAUACAUUGCUACAGCCGAUCUUCUAGAGAUACUAGAUUCUAUACUUGUGUUGUUGAUCAUUUGGAGAUUUGUGGAAGUACUUGAAUAAUACGGUUCUUGAGGGUUUAUUGAAUCAUCGUUGGCUUGGAAAGUUGUGAUUGGGAUUUGUUUGGAAUAUUCGUUUAAACACUCUCCUUGAUGUUAUUUAUUCCCCAUGUGUUGUUUGUCAUUGAUAUACACAUGUUUGGUAAGGAAGAGUGUAAAGUACGAAGGGUGAUGCCGUGCCAUAGUUAUACAUUAUCAUGUGAGGGAGAGUGUAAAGCACGAAGGGUGAUGUCGUGCCAUAUUAUUUGAGAGUAAAAGCACGAAGGGUGAUGCCGUGCCAUAUUAUUUGAGAGUAAAAGCACGAAGGGUGAUGCCGUGCCAUAUUAUUGGGAGUAAAAGCACGAAGGGUGAUGCCGUGCCACAUCAUUUGAGAGUAAAAGUAGGAAGGGUGAUGUUGUGCCAUUUCAUUUAUAUUGUUAUGCUUUUAUGUUAUCGUGAGAUCAUGGCACGAUGGGUGUUUUCGUGCAGGUGAGGAUGAGGGACAUGCAUCAUGUUGUGAUAUCUGUUUUUCCGUGUAUAUGUUCACGUCUUUAUCUUGAACGGUUAUUGUCGUAUUUAUAGACCUCGUGUGACUUGUUAUUAUUGUCCUGUCCUUGCUCUCUAUUUCAAUCGUUGUUGUGUUGUACAUAUCUUGUACUUGUUUUAUUUGCAAAACACAUGCCUAUUUCCUGUUGUUAUAAUUACCUCCAUGUCGUGUCUAUUCUGUUGCAUUUUAGUACAAGCCCUUUUUCUAUGUUAGUUAUUCAUGCCUCUGCUUGUUAACUUGUAAAGAUCAUGUGAUUCCUUCUUAUUUGUUAUAUCUGUACUUAGGCCUCCAUCAUGCUAGUUAAUUGAAGUUGAUAUUCCUUAUUUUUCAAUUGUUGUCAUUACUCACAUGCUUUCCGCCUAGUCUUUUAUUGUUGCCCACAUGUAUAUCCUCGUUCAUUAUUGCUACUUGCGUAUUUCCUACUUUGUAAUUCCUAUUUUCGAUAUUUAUGUCAUCUAGUUGGUUCUAUUAUAAGUAUAUGAGGAUGAGAUAAAAGCACGAAGGGUGUUGCCAUGUAAUUAACUUGAUAUCUGAGUACAUUCCUCAUGCUAUGAAAGUUAUGAAGUGACUGUAGUGGUUUAUCAGUUUCAUUCUAAGGAAAGCGAUGGUCAAGGUAUUGUAAGAUGCUAAAUUGUGAUCACUGCUAGUAUUCGAUUAUUAUUUGCGUAUUCGUUUCAUGUAAUCUUUUCUGUUAUAGCGUGGUAUAACUCUAUUGUUGAUUUAUACUACAGGUUUUUAUCAGUGAGUAUCUUUUAACUAAAAAGCCUCGUCACUACUUCCACGAGGUUAGACGAGAUACUUACCAGUAUAUGGGGUCGGUUGUACUGAUACAACACUUCUGCACAUUGCGUGCAGAUUUUGGAGUGGAGCUGCAAGUGAUAUCGGGUGCUGACUUUGAAGAUGUUCAUGCAUUCUGGAUAUAGUUUCCACUUGUCCUUGGUAGCUUAGGUUGUGCUAAUCUCUUAAGUAAAUUUCAAACACAUCGUGUAAUUAUUUGUACUAGCUUUAUAAAUUCCAAGUCUUAGAAGGUCAUGGUUCGUACUACUAGUUCUUGGGUAAAUUUGUAAAUGUUCAGAUAAUUCUUCUCUAUUCUUACUAUAAUCUCAUUCAGAUUGUAUUUUCUGUUAGUGGCUUACCUAGCGGAUCGAGUUAGGUGCCAUAACGACUUGUGAUUUUUGGGUCGUGACAGUUAUCAACCCCAAUGGUAAUAGUAGUGCAUUUAAUAAAGAAAAUAUUUUCAUCAUUAGAUUAAAAUGCAAUUUGUGUAAAUUAUAUGAUAGAAAUUAAAGAGCUAUCUUAGCUAGCAAAAAUGAAUAUACUGAUCAACUAAAUAAAAGGUUGAUUGCUAUGUUUUAUGGUAAUGUUACACCCAAUGUUUCGUACGUAAAAGUAUGCCAUAAGUAAAUUAAUGGGAGCUCGGAAAUGAGAUGUUACAUCUCGCAUUUUCGUGUGUUAAAGUUUUUUCGUAAGUUAAUCGAUGUAAGUUUGGGAAUGAUAUUAUUUUGAGAUUAUAAAUAUUAUGCUAUUUCAAACAAGCGACAAGUAAAUUCGUGAAUGUGAAAGGGUAAGCUGUAGCGAUCCGGCAGGUCAUUUUGAGAAUUAAUGCCCCGAUCAUCUAUUCACUGCUUUCCCCGUAUCUAUUUCUAUUAUUGUGAAUUGCCGGGAUGGUUCAUCUUGAGUUUCGGAGUGUUUUGGGACACUUAGACCCUAAAUAAGAGCGUAAGUCUUAGAAUUUGGACCGUAGUCGGGGAAGUAUGAAGAUGUCUCCGGAAUAGAAUUACGUUGAUUCCGCUAGCUCCGUUGGGUGAUUUCGGUCUUAGAGGCAUGUUUGGAUUGCGUUUUGGAGGUCUGUAGCUCAUUUAGGCUUGAAAUGGCGAAAGUUGAUUUUUUGGAGUUUCGGCCCAACAGUGGAAAUUUUGACAUCAGGGUCAAAAUCCGAUUCUAAAAGUUGGAAUAGGUCCAUAGUAUUGAAUAUGACUUGUGUGCAAAAUUUGGGUUCAAUCGUACGUGUUUUGCUUGGUUUCGGUAUCAGAUGUAGAAUUUUGGAAAUUCAAGUUUUUAAGUUUGGAUUAGAGGGUGAUUCGUAGUUUUAGAGUUGUUUGAUGUGAUUUGAGUGAUCAACUAAGUUCAAAUGAUGUUUUAGGAUUGAUUGGUAUGUUUGGUUGAGGUUCCAGGGGCCUCGGGUGAGUUUCGGAUGCUCAACGGGUCAUUUUUGGACUUAAAGAAGUGGCAGAUUUUCUGGUGUUUUGUUGCAGUGAAAUCCUUCAUCGCGUUCGCGAGAGGAGUCUCGUGUUCGCGUAGAGCAUCUGGGAGAAGCAGCUAAGUGGUACUUUGCAUUCGCGAAGGUGUGGACCCUUUAGCCUACGCGUUCGCGACAUGGUCCUCGCGUUCGCGAAGGGUCUGCCAGUGUAAGCUAUGCGUUUGCGAAAGGACCCUCGCGUUCGCGAAAGAGGAAUUUGGGCCAGUGGGAUUUUUCUCAACGCGUUCGCGAAGAAGGACGCAUCUGGGCAGAAUUUAAAAAUCCAAAAUCGAGGGUUUGAGUUCAUAAUUUUAAAAAUUAAUAGAGAGCUCGGUAGAAGGCAAAAUUUGGAGAGAUUUUCGGAGGAAGUUUGUGGGUAAUGAUUCCUAACUACUUUUUUAUUAUAUCCCAUUAAUCUAAGCUCAAUUUCAUCAUUUAAUUUCGAAUUUGGGGUGAAAAUUUAGGGAAAAUUUUAGAAAAUCUUUAGGCCGAAUUUUGGGAUUUUGAUCGAUAUUUUGGUAUCGGAUUUGGGUGAAUUUGGUAUGGUUAGACUCGUGAGUGAAUGAGUGUUCAUAAUUUGUGAUUUUUACCUGAUUCCUAGAUUUUGGUCCGGGGAGGAUUUUUUGGCAUUUUCCUAUUUUCUUACCUUAGCUUUGAAUUAAUUAGUUAAACUAGUUGCUUGUAGUUUUAUUUACGUUAUGUAAUUAAUUUGAUUAGAUUUGGGCUACUUUGAGUUGGAUACUCGUGGCAAGAGCGUGAUAUCAGAUUGAUUUUGAGCUGGUUCGAGGUAAGUGGCUUGCUUAACCUUGUGUGGGGGGAAUUUCCCUUAGGAUUUUGGUACUGUUAUUAUAUGAAUGCCGUGUACGUGAGGUGAUGAGUGCGUACAUGUGCUAAUUGUUAAAAAACUCCGUUUUCUUUAAGUAAAUAUCUAUGUUUUUCCUUUAAUUGAACAAUACUAGUGUGUGAAGCCUCAUGUUUAGCUCAGGAAAGCAUGCUUAUGUGACUUAAUUGUCUUAUUUGCGUUAACUGCUUAUUUGGAUUCUGUGUAGCAUGUCUAGAGUAGGAAUUUCCUAUUUCUUGAUACGAACUUGAAUAGAACUGUCAAUUUCUUGUUAAGACUAUUGUGUAUUUACUUUGGGACUACGGAUCGGUAUUUCGAGAGAUCUCCCUGCACAUUUAUAUUUGGGACUAAGGGACGGUAUCCUGGGAGAUACCCCUGUACUAGAUAUUUACUUUGGGACUACAGAUCGGUAUCCUGGGAGAUUCUCUAUACAUUUACGUUUGGGACUACCAGACGUUAUCCUGGGAGUUCCCCCUGUUGUUAUCUUUGUGUAUUGAGUUAUUUCUUUAUGUGAUAUCAUCUUUAUUGACUGUUAGUAUUUUAAUUAUACUGUCACAUUUCAUACUGUUUUACCUUGUUAUAUAUAUAACCAGUAGGGCCCUGACCUGAUCUCGUCACUACUCGACCGAGGUUAGGCUUGACACAACUGGGUACCGCUGUGGUGUACUCAUGCCCUUUCUUGCACAUGUUUUUCGUGUGUAGAUCCAUGUUCUUCUGCUCAACCAUACUAUCCGUGAGGCGAGGUGAUUCGGAGACUUCGAGGUAUAUCUACCGCGUUCGCAGGCCUGGAAGUCCCUCUCUAUUCUCCCUUCAGUUAUAGACUUCUUGUAUUUUUCUUCGUUUAGACUUCUGGAGUUAGAACACUAUGUAUUUCUUUAGCUUGUGAUUCAUGCGAUUCCGGGUUUUGGGAGUGCUAUGUUCAGUCGAGAGUGUUAUUAUUGUAUAUGCCGAGCGACAUUUUAAACUCUUUUAUUAUAGUUACUUGUUAGUUGGCUAGUUUUGUUUCUUUAAUUCAUUUUCCGCAAAUUGUUAGGCUUGACUAGUAGACUAGGUGCCAUCACGAUAGUUCACGGAGGGAGAACUUGGGUCAUGGCAUAAGCGAAUCGAAGAAAGUGAAUUUCGGCGAAGUUUGACUUUUUGAGAUAAAUACGAUCCAAGCUACAAUACCCCGUAUUUAUGGAUUAGUGUCAUACAAGGUACCACAUGACCAUGAUAGUAAGAUGUAUAAGGUAUGUUAAAAGUGAGUAGUAUUUUAAGUAAUUUGAGAUAAUUCUUAAUUAUGCAGGUAAUUAAUUAACUAUUGGGUAAUGAGAGAUUACCUAGUUAAUUAAGGAUUUAUUGGGUGAUUAAUUAAGCACAUUUGGAUAAGUAUUAAACUCCAAGAUGGCAGCAAAUUAAGCCCAAUUUUAUGACUCAUUAGUCAUUAGGAUAGGUGGCACAUUAAGGGGUCUUUGGGCAAGACUAAUCCCUAAAAAAUGAGGCCCACCUAAAAAUUUAGUAUAACUUUUCUAGUUCAAAAAUCAUUCUCCUAACCUCUUAAAAGACUUUCAGCAAAGGAGUGUAGUAACGUUAUUGACAAAAACAUUCUGCCAAGGAAUAUAGCAACAUUAUUGACAAAGAGUUUCAGCCAAGGAACGUAGCAACGUUAUUGAGAAAGAGUUUUAGCCAAGAUUAUCUUUGCAUAGCAACGCUAUUGCUUCGAGCAUUUUAUACGUAUUUCUCCUACUCCAAUUUUACCGUCACGUAUUUUGUUGCAAUUAACGUGUGUUAGUGGAAUUGUCAAGAAAAUCGACUCAGGCAUGUUAAGGAUAUCACUUCUUUCUUUUGGUGUGAUGUAUAUGACACAAACGAAACAAGAAAAAUCCACAACUUCCAUAAAUGACUCUAUUCAUAGAAUUAUUAGAGGUGCCUAUGUUCUUGAAUUUCCAUGUGUCCUAUUAUUUUAUAAUCUAUUCAUGAGCCUCAGAAAAAUACGUAAAUUGAUUUUAUGAUAUUAAUCAGAGGCAUAAUGGUCUUAUGACACUCCGAAAGAUUUUAUUGACGUACUUCUCAUGAAUUGCAUUCAUUUACAUUGACCCAUGACCAGAUGGAGUUAUAUACGCGUAUAUAUGUAUAUUAUAUGCAUAUGGGAUAUGGAAAAAGGUUACUGCAUUAUAUACGCACAACCACCUGAUCAGCUGGUAUACGUUGAUGAUUUUACCCACAGUGGCCGAGAUGAUGUGAUGAGAUGCCCUCAUAGGCUUGAUGAUGUUAUGAAUACAUGUACUAUGCAUGACAUGACAUUGAUACGCAUAUGCAUGACACUAUAAGUAUUUCAUGAUUUACAGAGUUAUCCAGACUUACGGGUUAAGUCAUUUACUCCAUGUUUCUUUCAUGUCUUUUAUGUACUUAUUUGUGUGCCUUACAUACUCGGUAUAUUAUUCGUACUGACAUCCUUUUUUCCUUGGGACGCUACGUUUCAUGCCCGUAGGUCCCAAUAGAUAGGUCGAAAGUCCUCCAAGCAGGCUAUCAGCUCAGCGGAAGAUGUUGGUGUGCUCCAUUUGCUCCGGAGUUGCUUGUUUGGUCAGUAUGAUUUAGACAUGUAUUGUUUGGUAUGACGGGGCCCUGUCCUUUACGAUAAUAUAUACUCUUAGAGGCUUGUAGAAAGAUGCCAUAUAUACGGAUGCUUGUAUGGCCUUGCCGACCUAUGUUUUGAGUUUACAAAUAAUCAUGUUGGCCUUAUAGGCCCGUAUGUUACAUGUAUAAGUUUUUAUAUCAGGUUGGGUCGUCCUAUAUUGAAUAUUUUCCUAUAUUUAUUCUGGUUAGCCCAUGACGGCCCGUUUGGCCCAUUUGCCAAUGAAAGUAUGAUAAGAAAUAUAUGUUAUGUUGGUACUCGGUUGAGUAAGGUACCGGGUGACCGUUGCGGCCCAUAAGUAUGGGUCGUGACCGGUAAAAAUAAAAUAUUUUUCAGUUUUGACUCAGUAGAAGAUGAUACCAACAAUAACUACCAAGAAGAAUACUUAAAUACUUUAAUACCAAAUGGCCUUCUUCCGUACAUGCUUUUGUCAAGUUCAUUAUUUCUUACGUAUGUUAGUGUCACCAUAUAUAUAAUAGACUAAGUUAAAAUUGAUCUUCUAUUGCAUAUAUGUUUAUGCACGUCAUGCUACUGAAAAUUUAGAUCCGCUAAAUAGCUUAUGUAAUAGUACACAUAUGGUAUAUAGAUUAUUUAACGACAACGUCAUACAUGCAGAACUUAUGAUACUGGUCAAUGUGCUUCUAAGUAUGUGUUUAUCCCCAAAUUCAACUUUUGUCUUCCGAAACUAAAGAAUAUCCUUUUAAAUUUGUGUGAAAAUAAUUUUCAUUAUGUUUAUGUUUUAUAGUUUUAAUAAAUAAAACACAAUGACAAACAUCCUAAAUGUUGAACUAUAUUUACCAUAAUAUGUUUUCUUACACGAAUAACUAUAUGUUGCACUUUCAACAGAGAUAUCAAUAUUAACAAUAAGAGUUUUGGUUGUGGAAUAGUAACCAAAGCAUUAGAAGGCAAUAUACACAAAAAUAUAGCGCAUAUAAAGAAGUGUUUGGCAAGAUACCAUCACGUUAGAUACCUUUAAACUACAAUACAUAAUUAUCUAAUUAACAUGGCUAAACUUUUCCAUUUUCAGAUAUUACUAAUAUCAUAUUAGAAUGGCAGUUGGAAGGAGAAAGACAAUAAACCAACAAAUAAAAGGCAAGCAAAGAAACUGUUCGACUGAAUAUACCUAACAAGUUUGCCGACACUCCUCAAUAUUCAACAGAUGCCAAAAUAUGGGUCCUAAUCAUAAUGCCGACCUUUUUUAUUGCUAUCCAUACUUUAAUAUAGUAUAGUUAUGAAAAAGGUUACUAUCAAGCAAUUCAUGUGGGAGAUGAGCUGGAAUUUCGGUUCAAAGAUACUCAAGAUCUCCAUUUGUGAUUUCAAACUUUUACAUUUUUUUUUUGGGGAGAUAAUAAUAGUUUUCAGUGUAUUGUAUCGAAGCCAUAUGAAGUUAAUUAGCUAGCGAUGUCUUUAAUUCCAACAGAAUGGAUAAUGAAAUAAAUUGCUAUUGAUAUUUUGAUUUUUUGGUUCCUUUUAUUUUCUGCUAUUAAUGAGAUAAUAUAUUUUUAUUUUAUGCUUCUUAUGGGAUCAUAAAUCUACAUAUAACGUGACAUUGGUGGAAGAUUACAAAUUCUUAAAAAGAAAAAUGUUAUGUUGCUCAAUUUUCUUUCUUGAUAGCAGACAAAAUUCAAGAACAAAGACAGAACAAUAUUAUAAAAUGAGAGCAAAAUAUAGCUUUUUUGUGUACAGAAUAUUUCUAUCCCUAUAACGGAUGAUAAUCUUUUUAUUUAUAGCUCUAUUCAGUGAGACAAGAUCCCCAAAUUAAGUUUUUCUUGAAUGAGAAUAAAACUGUCAUUAAUGGAUGCAUAAUGAUUGGUUAUAAAUGCAGAUAUUCUUUGCAACUGCUGCUCAUUGAAUAAUAUUCGAUGACAAUGCUUUGAAUCUUCGUUACUGGCUACUCUAUCUUCGGAAUUCGUUCAACAUCGAUUGCAUGCUUACAUCCGGUGAUGAUUGUUUGCUGACUCAUGUGCCACCUGUAUUUAGUUCUACGUGUCACUUUGUCAUUCAUCCAACUGUCAUUAACCUAUUUUACCCCAUACAGAUACUCCCCUUACUUUUCGGUAACACAACUUAGUGUUACCGGAAAGUAGAUAAGAAUUCUUUUCUUGGCGAAAAAAUUCCUGAACGGUCUCUGACACUUGAAAGGGCACAUGUCUUCUCGCAUUUAAUGACCCAAACAUGUGUUGCUCCAUGAUUCAGCAAAUAUUUUCACUGGUUUUCGAGGUACUCAUGACUAAGAUUUUUGUUAUCUAUAACUUCUCCCCUACUCAUCAUUUUUACUCUUUACUUUCACAACUCCCUCUUCUUCCUUGAUUCUCCUUAGAACCAUUCUGUGACAUUCAACUUUCUUAGUAAAACUUUUCUUCAAACAUAUCUUCAAGCAUUACCAUCCUCGGAAACUCUGGCCUUUUCUUCAAAAGACCCCCAAAGAAAACAAAAACAAAGGAAGUUGAAGCUGAAUCUGAACCUCCCACCCUGAACUCCAUCAUACCUCUUAAACUUAAUACGAAAUCAGACCUUCAAUAACAGAAAGCACCUUCAAAUUCUAAAAGUGAUAGGUUCUGGCCUAUUCGGAGGAACCCUUCUUCCAUUCGUCCUCCUAGUGUCCUUGUCAUGAAGGAGGAAUGCCAUUGGAACAAGGUUGAAAUCCUCACCCCCAAAAAAGGUAGAAAGAGUUACCUUCUCCAAGCCAGGUUUCAUAUAUUUUUACACAUACCCUUUCACUUUGGGCCAUUUAACUUUGAGAAUGGGUGAAGGAACUGACCCAAUAAUCUUAGAGUUAUCCCAUCGAUACCAAGUAUGUUUGGCAUAAGUAGGCCUAUCUGUGUGGCGUACGGUGGUUUGCCACCACCAAUGGUGUUAUGAGACCGAGGAAACCCUAACUCUCGUACAUAUAAUGAACCUCUACUCCAAAAAGAUUUUUCGUGAGGGUAUGCUAAAUCUUAGAAAAUGCGGUGAUCAUGCUCUUCUUACUAGCAUUGACAACGACACUAACCGUGGAUGGAUGGAACAGUUUGUUAUUAUCGCUACCAGGGAUAUCAUCCUAACCACAAUACCAGCUUUUCCCAAAUCAUGAAAUCUUUUUCGUAAGUUUUUCGGGUAUUUGCUUCCUUUCCUUGUAAAAAGAAAUCUUCUUUCUUUGCUAACUUUUUAUUUUCUUUAUUCCAGCCACUCACUAGGAGCUCCAGCGGUUCAAGAUUUGGACCGAUGGGUACAAAAAAUUCUGAAUAUCACUAUACCAGAAUUCUAAAGGUGAAAGGGAAUGACUCCCAAAUACGGGUGGAAAUCCAAAAAUCAUGAUAAAUAAAACUCUUCUUCCUUUAUUUCAACCGUUUAAUACAUUCUGCAAACAAUUUAACUACCUUAUAUUGCCAAACAGGACUUCCGAACGGAUCCAUUGUGUGCCCCGACAUCGAAGCUCUUGAUGACCCAAUGGAAGCUCAACGAGUAUUUUAGAGUGCCCUUAACCAGAGGAGGGCUCGUGAAUGUACUCGUGCCUCUACUAAAGGUGCCUCCUCCCGAAGUCUCUAGUCAAAAAAUAAGCAACCAAAAAGGAAACGUAUCUCCACGGUUGGGACUCAGGAGAAGAGAAUAAUAAAACACCAACCGGACCAACCACAAUGGUCCUUGAUGAUGAAGAAGAGGUUGAUGGUGAAGAGGCCCCCUUUCAAAAAAGAAAAAGAUCUUCAUCAAUUCAACCGGAUGCUUAGCCGGGGGAGUUUCAAACUCUACCUCCAAAGGAAGUUCAAGAACUCUGGGAGGGGGAGGGGGUGAAAUAGCAAUAUCCGAAAAUGCUACAUCUCAUUUUUGGAUUCCCACAAUUGCUUCUGCUUAAAGGAUUUGAAUUCCUGACCUUCCUCCAUUGUCAACUUUUGAGCCGAUAAUAGCUUCUUCUCCAUCCACACCAACUACUUCUUCUCCACUGACCCCAGCUGAACAAGUAGGGAAUGCCCCUUCUCCACAGUCUCCCAACCAAGAAAAUUUGAGAAAUACUUAUUUGGUACCCACUCAAGACCCUCAUGGAAAACAAAGUGCCAUUCUUUCGAUUUCGAAGGAGUGCCAUAUACUUUCCAAGACGGUGGAUCUCGCCAAUUACCUGAAGUCGUUGGGCUCAGAGAAAGAUUGGAGAAAGUAGGACACUCUUUUUGUGAAGUGUCUGAUAAACAAUAACAUGCAUUGUUCGGUGCAGGUAGCAAUCUAACUUCCUCCUAUCUUCUUUUAAUUUGCACUUCGCAUUAAUUACUUUAGGUCUAACCUUUUUCAUGUCAACCUUAUUGCUUCCAAGGGCCUGCAAAGGUUGAUUUUGGACAAGCAAGAGAUUUCUUCAGAACGAGAUCAACUUUUGGUUGAAGGAAUUAGCUUACCGGGCGCCUCUCAGUGCUGGAGGCAAAAAUUGCUCAAAUAGAUGACCUCAAGGCCCGAUUCCAGCAGUCCAAACAAGAUAGAGUGGCUCACAGCUUGGAAUCCGCCCAGCUACAUGAAAACCUUACAGACCCAAAGCCUAAAUGUGUUGAACUUCAUGAUAUUGUGACUGUUGCUGCCGAGCGCGAGUCUGUCUUUAUGGAACAAGUUAAUAACUUAGAGGCUAUCUUACGCUCCAAAAUUGAGGAGGCCAAUGCUGCCAAGGAGAAUAGGGCGAGAAUGGAGGAAAGAUUCAAAAGGACCAUGGAGCAGAAUCAACUCCAUUCAUUAACCUAUGUCGAGCUGGACUCCAAAAUCAACAUUAUUAAAGCUGAAAAUGAAAAUCUCUAAUCCAAGAUUGAAAAAUUCCGAGCUAAACUCUAAGACCAAGAGGAUCCACUCGUCUUCGAGAAAACCUACACCAUUUAUUAUACGAAGAGGAAGACCUUGGAGGAUGCUAAAGAUGGAAUUUCUAACAUUGAUGAAUAUAGUGCUAAAGCACAGGAGCUGGAUACAACUACUCACAAGAAUCUCCCUACUCGGCCCAUUACAUCUGAUUCUUUGAAUACUAACUCCGAGUAAUCGGGAACCGAGGGAGAGACUGAAAAAGAUGAAGGCCUCUAAUCGGAAGUGGAACAACCUUCUCCUAAUAAAGAAAACGAAGGCUUUUCUCUCCCUUUGGGUUCUGGCAGCAAGAACUGAUGUAGUUUUCAUUACUUCUUGUAAUUGUGACAAAACUUUCCACUAGUUUGGCAAUUUAUUUAAUAAAAGAAACCAUUUACUUAAGUAUUGUGCAAGAAAAUAUUCUUUUACAUUAACUGACAAAGUUUCAGGAAUCUUUUCACAUCCGAUAGCUUUUGAUUCCAGGCAUAAACACUUCCAGAAUCUACCUUUUACUAUGAGGGUUUCAUAAGAGAGGGCCCUCGUAUUUACGAUGACAAUGUCUCAUGUUCAUUCCGGCACAACCAUUUAAAGUUUUUGUUAACACUCAAAUGAUAAAAUAAAUUAACUUAUCAUUCAGGAAAGAAUAAUAUAAAAAUAAAAGGACUUUGAUUUAUUCCCUCUAUCUUUAAAAGUAUAUUUACAUAAACAUUCAUUUGCUUAAGUAAAUAAAGGUUCCAAUACAUGUGGCUAACUUGUACAACUUAUUUCUGUGAGGCUGAUCAUGUAGUCACCGGCCCUGAUAAGAUAUUGAUCCUGGUUCUACUGGUCCCUGUCUUUAUAACACUUUUACUGCUUUGAUAUGUAUUAUUCCCACCAAUGUUCAGAUUCUAAGUGUGAGAAUUAGAACACUGAGGUCUUGCAUUCGUCGAUGACAUAUCGUAGUAUCUUUACAUUAUUGCCUUAUUAAUAGAAAUAACUUGGGGAUGGUUAAAUAAUCUACUUCCAGAUGUUAACAAGCCAAAGAUUACUUAACCAUCCACAAGUUGUUUGCCUCACGAGUUGAUCUACAUAAAACUAUUUCUGGAAGUCCCUCAUUUGUCGACGACCCUUCCUUCAUAGUAUGCUUUAUAUUGUUGCCUCAUUAAAAACCUUGCUAGAAAAAUAUAAUUGGGAUAAAAACUGGUCGAAGAGAAAAGGAGUGUAGAGCAUACUUUUAGUACCAGCAAGGAUCUUUAGCAAUAUUACCUUUUGAGGUGGGUCAUAUUCCAAUUGCUUGGCAAUUUGACUCCAUCUUGAUCUUCCAAUUCAUACGAACAUUUACCAGUUAUAGCUGAAAUCUGAUAAGUUCUUUCCCAUGUUGGUCCCAGCUUCCCAACAUUAACGUUUCAAGUACUUUGAGUGACUUUUCUUAGGACCAAAUCCCCAACUUUGAAAUAUCAUAGAUUCUCUCUGCGGUUAAAAUACAUUUGCAUCAUUUGCUUUUGUGCCAUUAUCCUUACAUACGCCAGAUCCCCAUGCUCUUCAAGCAAAUCUAAUUUAUCCAGCAAUGAUUCAUUGUUUGCUUUUUCUUUUGCUCGGAAAAACCCUAUGUUCAGUUCCCCCACUUCCAUCGGUAUCAAAGACUUUUAAUUGUAUACAAGUGAAAAGGGUGUUUUAUACGUGCUCGACUUUGUCGUGGUCUGGUAUGCCCAUAACAUACCCGGUAGCUCAUCUGGAAACUUGACUUUAGCAUCUUCUAACUUCUUUUAAGGUUUGAAUAAUUACCUUGUUAGUCGACUCCACCUGUCCAUUAGCACUCGAGUGGUAUGGUAAAGAUGUAACUCGUUUGAUCUUCAAUCCUUCCAAAAACUUUGUCAGUUUGGAAACUAUGAAUUGUGGUCCAUUGUCACAAGUUAUUUCUAUUGGUUUUCCGAAUUGGUAAAUUAUGGUCCUAUAUAAAAUUGACCAUCUCUCAUUAUUCGAUCUUUUGGUAAGCACAUGCUUCAACUUAUUUAGUAAAAUAAUAAUUUAAAACCAAAAGAAAUUUUACCUUACCAGGUUCUAGUGGCAAGGGACCCACUAUGUCCAUCCCCCAUUUCAUAAAUGGCCACGGUGACACCACCGAAUGCAAAAGUUCUACAUAUCAAUGCACUAACUGUGCAUGACGCUGACAUUUAUCACACUUUUGUAGAAUUAUCUUUGCAUCUUGCUACAUCCGGGGUCAAUAGUAGCCAGCUCUGACUAACUUGAGAAUUAAUUAGUCUACACCAGAAUGGUUCCGGAAUACUCCUUCAUGAACUUCCAUCAUCACAUAGUCAGCCUCCGAGGCCCCUAGACACAAAUCUAGUGCCCCUUGGAACGAUCUCAUGUAUAACUGUCAAUCAAAAAGAUAGUAACGAGUCACCUUGGUCCGUAGUGCCAAGGAUUCUUUUGGGUCUUCUAGAAAUUUGCCAUGUCUUAGAUAUUCAAUGAACUCGUUCCUCCGGUCCCAUAUUAAGUUGGUUGAAUUAAUUUCACAGUAGCUGUCCACGCCCAACACCGAAUAUAGUAAUUGAACGAAUAUACCAGAAUCAGAUCCUUCCAUCUCUGUGGAUGAACCCAAAUUGGCCAAUGCGUCUGCCUUCAAAUUUUCCUCCCUUGGAAUGUGGACGAUUGACCACUCUGUGAAUCGUGUAAGUAAUGGUUGAACCUUGUUCAAGUUCUGUUGCAUGCGCUACUCCUUGGUGUCGAAAAUUCUAUACACUUGGUUUACCACCAACUGGAAUCGCAUUUUAUCUCGAUGACCUUGGAACCUAGUCCCCGAGCUAGUUCAAGUUCUGCAACCAAAGCCUCGUACUCGGCUUUAUUGUUAGUUAAUGGUAAAAUUCUAUUGGCCUUCCUUAGGGUUUCCCCCAAAUGAGUGAUUAAAAUUACACCAAAACCGGACCCUUUUACGUUGGAGGCUCCAUUUGUAAACAAGAUCAGACUCUCUAUACCAUUCCCGAUACCAACAAUGCUUCUUUAGCAGUAAAGGCAUUAAUUCCGAACUGAAAUCAGUCACGAAGUCGGCCUAAACUUGUUACUUAAUUGCAGUCUUGGGCUUGUAUUCAAUAUAGAAUUCACUAACUUCGACCACCUACUUAGCCAAAUGACCUGACAACUCAGGCUUAUGAAGGACAUUCCUUAACGAAAAGGUUGUCACAAUGGCUAUUAGAUGACAUUAAAAAUAUGGUCUAAGCUUCUAAGAGGCAACUACGAGAGCUAAGGCCAGCUUUUCAAGGUGCGGAUAACGUGUAUCCGCUCCUGAUAAUAUUUUACUAAUAUAAUAAAUGGGAAAUUGCAUACCAUCUUCUUCCCGGACCAAAACGGCACUUACCACUACUUUUGAGACCGCUAGAUAAAUCAAUAGUUGCUCACCUUCUCCUAAUUUCUACAACAACGGAGGGCUAGAUAGGUACCUUUUUAGGUCUUUAAGUGCAUAUUGGUAUUCCGGAGUCCAUACGAUGUCAUUCUUUUUUUUCAAAAGCAAAAAAAAAAUGAUGGAACUUUUACGAAGACCUCGAGAUGAACCUUCUUAGAGAUACCAAUCUACCGGUCAACAUCUUUAUUCCUUCACGCCUGUCAGCUGGUCUGGGAUAUUCUCGAUGGAUUUGAUUUUAUUGGGGUUUACCUUAAUUCCUCUUUGAGAGACCAAAAACCCCAGGAACUUAUCGGAACCCACUCCGAAGGCAUAUUUCUUCAGGUUGAGAUUCAUGUUGUACUUUUUCAGAAUGUCAAACGUCCCUUAGAGAUGUUCCAGUUGAUCUCCUGCAUAAAGAGACUUAACUAGCAUGUCGUCGAUAUAAGCUUCCAUCGUCUUACCUAUCUAUUUUUUAAAUAUCUUAUUAGCGAGCCUCUAAUAAGUGGCUCCCGUAUUUUUAAUCCCACAAGGCAUCACAUUAUAGCAAUAUGUGGUAAAGUUUGUGAUGAAAGAAUUCUUCUUUUAAUUUUCUGGGUCCAUCGUAAUUUGAUAAUACCCGAAAUAAGCAUCAAGAAAACUCAUCAACUCGUGCCUGGCUGCAGCAUUGAUCAUUUGAUCAAUGUUCGGCAAUAGGAAAAAGUCUUUGGGGCACACUUUAUUUAAAUUCUUAUCAUCUACACACAUCCUAAAUUUUCUAUUCUUUUUAGGCACUACUACGUUAGCUAUCCACUUCGAGUACUUUACCUCUCGAAUUGAACUGAUGUUAAGUAAUCGGGUUACCUCUUCCUUAACAAACCUGUUUUUGACCUUUGCUAUCAAUUGUUUCUUCUGCCUUACCGGGGGGAAGUUUGGAUCCAGACUAAGUUUGGAGACCUCCAAAUCCAAUGGAAAAUUUGUCAUAUCUGAAUGCAACCAUGAAAAGCAAUCAACGUUAGAUUUAAAAAAAUCUAUAAGUUUCAACCUGAGUUCGGGACUCAACCCCGUUCCUAAAUGAAAUUUUCUUUCCAGAAAUUCUUCAAACAAAGCCACUUGUUUGAGCUCUUCUGCGGUUAACUUGGUUGCAUCCAUCUUUUCUGGUACCUGAAAAGACCUUGGUGCCUGAUAUAAUUCUGAUGACUUCUCGUUUUUAUCAUCUACAAUUGGGAUGGGAGAAGGCAUUGGUUCCUGUAGUUGCUAUUUGCUGGUUUCUUUGCCCUUGCUGCUGGAAAUGGUUACUGUGUUCAUCUCCCUUACAGCAGAUUGAUCUCCUCUGAUCUGCUUGAUCCCUUCUAGUGUUGGAAACUUUAACAGUUAAUGGUAUGUGAAGGUACGACCUUCAUUUUGAUGUAUCCACGGUCUUCCAAAGAUUAUAUUAUAGACCAUGUCGCCAUUUACCACUUCAAACAGGGUGGUCUUUGCUACACCUUCAGCAUGUGUGGGCAGAAAAAUUUCUCCUCGGGUUGUUAUACUUGUUAUGUUGAAGCCAGCUAAAAGCUUUGUUGAUGGAAUGAUAUUCCCAGUUAACUUUGCUUCUCUCCAUUGUAUGAUAUUGGUUGAACUUCCUGGAUCAACCAAAAUACGCUUAAUACUAAAAUCUAAAAUAUUAAAAGAAAUUACCAAAGCAUCAUUUUGCGGUAGGAUAAGUCCAUCGGCAUCUUCCAUCGUGAAGGUGAUGUCAUCUUUUGAGACUUCUCGGAUCCUCUUGCCAUGAGUCACUGAUAUAUUCGUCUUAUUUGCUGGCAAAAAUGUCACCCCAUUUACUUUGUCUCCUCUGAAGAUCAUGUUGAUUGUCAUUCGAGGUGACCCUUCUGCUGGUUUUAAUGGUUAUGUAAUAUCCCUAUUUCUCUUAGAGUUGUUUUUGGUGCGAUCGCUUAACAAUUCCCCGAGGUGACCAUUCUUUAACAAUAUUUCCACCUCUUCAUGAAGAUGUCGGCAGUCCCCAGUCCUAUUAUCGUGAGUCCCAUAGAAUUCACACCAUAGAUUAGGAUCCCUUUGGCUAGGAUCCGAUCAGAUCGAUUUUGGGAACCUAAAUUCUUUAAUAUUUCUCAUGGGCGACACUAGUUCCACUAGGGUGAUACUAAAAUUGUAAUUAAACAACCGGGGAUACGCUGAAUCUUAGGAUCAUGGCACCUUUUUCUCCUACAACAAUCUGUUACUCCGGCCAUGAUCCAUCCUUCUAUCGCAAAUAAACCUAUUCGAUGACUGGAAUCCUUUAUUAUCGUGCCCUUCGGCCUUCUCAUAAGGCUGAAAAUGACUUCUAGAGUGUAUUCGAUCUAUAUCAAAAUCAUUUUUAAACUUAUCUUGAUUUCAAUCACGAUUCCGUCCUUUGGAAGACACCGUGGAACCAAGUCGACCAUCUUCACUUCUGAUCUUUGACUCAUAGAGAUAUUAAACAUCUGCCCAUAUGGUUGCCUGAAUUUCGAGCAAGCUCUCCUGCAAUUUUUGUGAGUUAUCGGAGCUUAAUAGGUUGAGACCCUUUGUAAAUGCCUCCGUUGCCCACUCAUCUUGAACCGCAGAUAACAACAUCAUUUCUUUCCGGAACCAGAUCACAAACUCUCUUAACAAUUUAGCUUUUCUUUAAGAUAUCAUGAAUAUAUCCACCUUCCUUGCUUGGACCUUUCUUGCUCCAGCAUUAUCUUUGAUAAACGAAUCUACAAGCAUUUCAAAAGGGUCAAUAGAAUGUUUUGAUAAGAGGGAAUACCAGGCUAAGUCACCAUUCGUAAGGGUUUCACCAAACUUCUUCAACAAAACCGAUUCGAUGUAAUGCUGGGCCAAGUUGUUUUCCUUUACUGUCGUAGUGUAGGUCAUAUCAUGAUGUGCUCCUGUGGAUCCGAAGUCACAUCAUAUUUUGGUAUAUCCAACAUCUUAAACCUCUUUGGGAUUAACUUCGAUGCAGCACAUAGUUUAAACAGCAACUACAUAUACUUCUUUAAAUCUGAUCCUUUUAACAUCGGCGGCACCCCCGUGAUAUGAUCCAUCAGAGCGAAAUUCCUUUGCAUUCUAAUCCAUUCAUUCAUUCAUUUCUCUCAUUAAUCUUAUGAGCUCGGUUUUGAAAGGGUUAUUUAAAUUGUUGUUCGCAAAUUCACUACCGGUACCUCUGGCCUCGUCGAAAUUGACCUCCUCUCUUGGUGUGUCGUUAUCAGUUCCUUGAGUCGUUUGCUUUACGAGAAUGCUGGGAGGAAUCGGGGCCCUUCCAUUAGCAUUAUUAGAAGCUCCCCAUACUACAUGUUUCAAUUUUGUCAUCACCCAAUCUUGCCUUGAGAGGCGAUCCAUAAUUGCCUUUUUCUAUUCCCUCAAGAUUUUGACUAUUUCAACAACGUGCUCAUCCUUUGCAUCAUCAAGAGUUGGGCCCCGCACAUGUCGAGGAUACAGACCUUCGCGAACUAGGUUGUUUCAUCCCCUUCGUUGUGGGGCUCACUGAUUGAAUCAUCACGCGUGAACACAUCUUCUUGUUGACCGUGUACUCCAACAUUUUAAACAAUAUUGACAUCAUUAGCUGUCAUACCUUAUCUUUCUUUUUCUAAGGAAGGAAUCAAAAUUUGUCAGUAAUAGAUAAAUAGAUCAAAGCAAUUACACAAUUGUCAAUGCCCCACAGUGGACGCCAAACUGUUUACCCAUAAAAUGAUAUAGUUAGAUUUGUAACGUAGUUUAUAGACAAAUAAAUCGAUUUGGUCCUAAAGUACGAAAACAAUAAUAACCGAAACAAGAAUACGAAAUAAAACUAAUGGAAACACAAGCCCGAGUAUGAAUUUAGCCUUUCCAAUGGCAAAAAGAGAACAUUAUUCAAGAACAAAGACUGAGAACAAUAUUAUAAAAUGGGAGCAGAAUAUAGCUUUUUUGUGUACAAAAUAUUUCCACCCCUACAAUGGAUGCUAAUCCUCCUACUUACAGCUCUGUUCUGGGAGACAAGAUCCUCAAAUCAAGUUCCUCUUGAAUGAGAAUAAAACCGUCAUUGAUGGCUGCAUAAUUGUUGGCUAUAAAUGCAUAUAUUCUUUGUAACAGUUGCUCGUUGAAUGUUAUCUAAUGAAAAUGCUUUGAAUCUUCAUUAUUAAUUGGCUACUCCGUCUUCGAGAUUCAUUCAGUAUCGAUUGCAUGAUUACAUCUGGUGCCAGCUGUUUGCUGACUCACGUCCCAUCUAUCUUUUGUUCCAUGCGUCACUUCGUCAUUCGCCCAACUAUCAUUAACCGAUUUUGCCCCAUACAGGUGUAGCUUUGAUUAUCGACACACAAGUUGAGGCUGACUCCAGUAUAUUGAGGCCAAAGGCACAGACAUAUAUAGGACUAGGACUAAACCGUGUAUUUCCGAGAAAAACUUAUAUACAUACGAUACCUAAUUCAAAACAUAGGAAAAUGGUAAUUUGUUUAGUCUUUUUCCCGUUCUUUUCCCUUUUUGAAUGAUUUUAGAAGUUUAAUUGUAUUCUAAAGACUAAACAUCAAUCCUCCCACGAUACUUGAGUUUUGAAGGUUACGUGGGUGGCAUACAUAAGUUCGUUGCUCAUUCUUCAAUUGUCAUUAUCUUUUUUUGUUGUUUCUAUCGUCACUUCCUUUUCUUUGUUGCAUUAUAGUGUUUGAUCUAAUUCUUAAUGUUAGCUAGAAAAAAUGGACAGCAAUGAGGUGUUAUAUAUAUNNNNNNNNNNNNNNNNNNNNNNNNUAUAUUAGUUAGUUAAAGCGGUUAAUGAAAAAAAAAGUUUGAUAUCACUAAACAACUCAAUAAAUGAAUAUGCAUGCGAGUCAUCUAUCAUAUCCGUAUAACAAUUAAGCAUUGGUUGAUUUUCGCCACUUGGAAUUAAAAAUUUACGUAACAAACUUCCUUCAUGCAAAGAGGUGUGAACAUUGGAUUAGAACUCGUACACACUGGACAAACAAAUUAGUCCCCACAUCAACUAACUCAAGUUCCAAACUCAUAGGCUAGCUAGUUAUAACCAACACUUAUAAAUACCACUCAAUAUUAACAAGAGAAAACAUCCCAACAGCACCCAAGUAUCUUGUACUACUACUUUUUCAAAACUCAUCUGCCAUCACUUUUAUUACCAAAAUGGCUGAAGAGAAGAAGCACCACUUCGGUCUCUUCCACCACAAGGACAAGGAGGAAGACAAAACUACCUAUGGAGAAACUCCAUAUGGUGGUGAUACUGAAAAAACUACCUAUGGAGAGAAUACAUAUGAAGAGAAAACUAGUUAUGGUGGGGGAGAUAACUAUGGGGAUAACAAAUAUGGUGAGAAAACUGGCUAUGGAGAAAGUGGAUAUGGAGAGAAAACUAGUUAUGGUGAGGGAGGUAACUAUGGAGAUAGUGGCUAUGAAAAUAAGACUAGCUAUGGAGAUAGUGGCUAUGAAAAUAAGACUAGUUAUGGAGAUAGCGGCUAUGAAAACAAGACUGGCUAUGGAGAUAUUCCAUCUGAUACUACCUAUGGAGAGAAAACUAAUUAUGGUGAAGGAGAUACCUAUGGAAAAGGAGCUGCCUACUCAUCUGAGACCACUAAUUUUGAAGAGACUACUGAUGAAGGCAAAACUGGUGAGGAUUAUGAGAAAGAGAAAAAGCACCACAAGCAUCUUGAACACGUGGGAGGGCUUGGGGCUGCUGCUGCUGGUGCCUUUGCCUUGGUAAUUUUUCACACAAUGUUUUAUGUUACAGUUUUAACUUUUAUAUCCUUGUGGUCCAGUCCUUCCCCGGACCCCGCGCAUAACGGAAACUCAGUGCAUCGGACUGCCUUUAUUGUCGUAUCAGUAAAGUUACAAAAUUAUGUUAAUUAAAGUCAUUGAACUUUACCUAUUGUAUCAGCUAAGUCACAAAAUUAUUUGUUGUCUCAUAAAAGUCAUUGACAAUUUGUUAGUUGUCUAGAAAAUACAAUUCACUAGAAAGUCAAAUUUUUUAAUAAAAAUUGAUAUUAGUAGCCAAGAGAAUAAGAGAAACUACUACUCUUUCCGUCUCACUUCAUGUGAAGGUGUUUGACUGGACAUGAAAUUUAAGAAAUAAAGAAAAAAAUUUGAAACUUGUGGUUUAAAAUAAUUUAUAGAAAUUUAUUUGGCUAAAAAUUAUCUCAUUAAGGGUAAAAGAAAAAAUUUAAAAUUAAGUUGUUACUAAAUAUAGAAAUGUGUCAUUUUUUUAUGAGUGAGUAAGAAGAAAAGAGUGUCACAUCAAAUUGAUUAAAAUAGACUCAUAGUCAAAUAUUAUGGGUCAAUUUGAAGAAAAUUUUGAUUUUUACUCUAGAUAUUGUAAAAAGAAUUUACACUAUCAAUCAUUCAUCUAGAAAGAUUAAUAGAGUUGUUAACUAUUCCUUUUUGUUUCUUCCAUAUUUUGGUAUGAAAAUUUC